rnacentral:rRNA from 1 species
CAGCAGCCGCGGUAAUACCGGCGGCCCGAGUGGCGGUCACUAUUAUUGGGCUUAAAGCGUCCGUAGCCGGGUUGGGAAGUCCUCCGGGAAAUCUGGCCGCUUAACGGUCAGAAUGCCGGAGGAUACUCCCAGCCUAGGGAGCGGGAGAGGCCGAGGGUAUUCCCGGAGGAGGGGGGAAAUCCUAUAAUCCCGGGAGGACCACCUGUGGCGAAGGCGCUCGGCUGGAACGCGUCCGACGGUGAGGGACGAAGGCCAGGGGAGCAAACCGGAUUAGAUACCCGGGUAGUCCUGGCUGUAAACGAUGCGGACUUUGUGUCGGACAAGCUAUGAGCUUGUCCGGUGCCGGAGGGAAACCGUUAAGUCCGCCGCCUGGGGAGUACGGCCGCAAGGUUGAAACUUAAAGGAAUUGGCGGG